rnacentral:rRNA from 1 species
GAUGAACGCUGGCGGCGUGCCUAAUACAUGCAAGUCGAACGCACAGCGAAAGGUGCUUGCACCUUUCAAGUGAGUGGCGAACGGGUGAGUAACACGUGGACAACCUGCCUCAAGGCUGGGGAUAACAUUUGGAAACAGAUGCUAAUACCGAAUGAAACUUAGUGUCGCAUGAUACGAAGUUAAAAGGCGCUUUGGCGUCACCUAGAGAUGGAUCCGCGGUGCAUUAGUUAGUUGGUGGGGUAAAGGCCUACCAAGACAAUGAUGCAUAGCCGAGUUGAGAGACUGAUCGGCCACAUUGGGACUGAGACACGGCCCAAACUCCUACGGGAGGCUGCAGUAGGGAAUCUUCCACAAUGGGCGAAAGCCUGAUGGAGCAACGCCGCGUGUGUGAUGAAGGCUUUCGGGUCGUAAAGCACUGUUGUAUGGGAAGAACAGCUAGAAUAGGGAAUGAUUUUAGUUUGACGGUACCAUACCAGAAAGGGACGGCUAAAUACGUGCCAGCAGCCGCGGUAAUACGUAUGUCCCGAGCGUUAUCCGGAUUUAUUGGGCGUAAAGCGAGCGCAGACGGUUUAUUAAGUCUGAUGUGAAAGCCCGGAGCUCAACUCCGGAAUGGCAUUGGAAACUGGUUAACUUGAGUGCAGUAGAGGUAAGUGGAACUC